UUUGUCCUAGAUUUUGAUAAUAUGCUCUUCAUUUUGAUAAUGCUCAGACAUUUGUGCGGAAGGAGUUGAAUGAAUAGAGCCGCCUCAUCACUAUCAAUGCACGCACUGUCUUACCCACAGACGCAGCUCUACCAAUCUUGCACGUAGAUGGGAUUGGGAGAGAAGGAGAGAGCUGAGAUUGCAUCAGCAUGCGCCGCGUGUAGGAUUCUGAGGAGAAGAUGCGACCCAGAUACUUUCCUCCCCAUGAUCCUCAAAAGUUCGCUACUGCACAUAGAGUAUUUGGUGCAUGCAACAUUACCAAAAUGCUUCAGCAUAUUCCGGAGGAGCGUAGGGGGGAUGCAGUGAGUAGCAUGGUUUAUGAGGCAAACGCGAGGGUCAGAGAGCCUGUGUAUGGGUGCGCUGGAGUCAUUUCUCAGCUGCAACAUCACAUAUUUGGACUGCAAUCCCAAUUGGCUAAAGCUCAAGCAGACCUAUUAUUCAUGCACUUACAACAAGCUAAUCUUUUGUCCAUCAUCAAUGGGGAUGAAUUUGGAGGAGGAUUCGGCUUUCAAGCAGUGUCUCCCACACAGGAGAAUCAACAUGAUCUCAUCACUUCAAAGCUCUCACCACACGGGAAUGGGACUAGGAUCACAUAAGGCUUUGGCUUAGUUAAAGUUAUGUUAUUCCAAUAUGACUUUGGUUUGAUACGCAUAAUUAUAAUUGCCUAUUCGAUUAUCUAUGGGUAUAAAUAUUUUAUUGGAUUUUUCAGAUGA